rnacentral:rRNA from 1 species
AUUGAACGCUGGCGGCAUGCCUUACACAUGCAAGUCGAACGGCAGCACGGGUGCUUGCACAUGGUGGCGAGUGGCGAACGGGUGAGUAAUAUAUCGGAACGUACCUUAUUGAGGGGGAUAACGCAGCGAAAGCUGUGCUAAUACCGCAUAAUCCCUAAGGGUGAAAGCGGGGGACCGUAAGGCCUCGCGGAAUUAGAGCGGCCGAUACCUGAUUAGCUAGUUGGUGAGGGAAAGGCUCACCAAGGAAACGAUCAGUAGCUGGUCUGAGAGGAGGAUCACGAGCGCGGGGACUGGGACAUGGCCCAGAUUCCUACGGGAGGCAGCAGUGGGGAAUUUUGGACAAUGGCGGCAAUCCUGAUCCGGCAAUGCCGCGGGAGUGAAGAAGGCCUUCGAGUUGUAAAGCUCGUUUGUCAGGGAAGAAACAGCAGCUCUAACACAGUUUGCGAAUGACGGUACCUGAAGAAUAAGCACCGGCUAACUACGUGCCAGCAGCCGCUGUAA